rnacentral:sRNA from 12 species
UUAUCUCUGUUGAAUCGAAAUCUUAAGUUUAUACUUGGGACAUUUAUGUAGAGAGAUAUGGGGAUAA